rnacentral:rRNA from 1 species
AGAGUUUGAUCCUGGUUCAGGACGAACGCUGGCGGCGUGCUUAACACAUGCAAGUCGAACGGAGUUUAAGAGGAAGCUUGCGAAUCUUAAACUUAGUGGCGGACGGGUGAGUAACGCGUGGAUAACCUGCCUGAAUGACUGGGACAACACCGGGAAACUGGUGCUAAUACCGGAUACGCUCAUCAUUGCGCAGGCAAAGGUGAGGAAAGGAGAAAUCCGCAUACAGAUGGGUCCGCGUCCCAUUAGCUAGUUGGCGGUGUAAGAGACCACCAAGGCGACGAUGGGUAGCCGGCCUGAGAGGGUGGACGGCCACACUGGAACUGAGACACGGUCCAGACUCCUACGGGAGGCAGCAGUGGGGAAUCUUCCGCAAUGGGCGAAAGCCUGACGGAGCAACGCCGCGUGAGUGAGGAAGGCCUUCGGGUCGUAAAACUCUGUCUUCAGGGAAGAAAAAAAUGACGGUACCUGAGGAGGAAGCCCCGGCUAACUACGUGCCAGCAGCCGCGGUAAGACGUAGGGGGCGAGCGUUGUCCGGAAUUACUGGGCGUAAAGGGCGCGUAGGCGGUUAUUUAAGUCAGAGGUGAAAACUACCGGCUCAACCGGUAGCCUGCCUUUGAAA